rnacentral:rRNA from 1 species
AUUGAACGCUGGCGGCAGGCCUAACACAUGCAAGUCGAGCGAGCGGCGGACGGGUGAGUAAUGCCUAGGAAUCUGCCUGGUAGUGGGGGAUAACGUCCGGAAACGGGCGCUAAUACCGCAUACUAUCAGAUGUGCCCAGAUGGGAUUAGCUAGUGGGUGGGGUAACGGCUGACCUAGGCGACGAUCCCUAGCUGGUCUGAGAGGAUGACCAGCCACACUGGAACUGAGACACGGUCCAGACUCCUACGGGAGGCAGCAGGGGGGAAUAUGGCACAAUGGGCGAAAGCCUGAUGCAGCCAUGCCGCGUGUGUGAAGAAGGCCUUCGGGUUGUAAAGCACUUUCAGCGGGGAGGCGUUACCCGCAGAAGAAGCACCGGCUAACUCCGUGCCAGCAGCCGCGGUAAUUC